rnacentral:misc_RNA from 1 species
AACCUGGAGUCCACAAGUA